rnacentral:rRNA from 1 species
GGAUUCCCCUAGUAACUGCGAGUGAAGCGGGAAAAGCUCAAAUUUAAAAUCUGGUAGUCUUUGGCUGCCCGAGUUGUAAUCUAGAGAAGCGUUAUCCGUGCUGGACCGUGUAUAAGUCUCCUGGAAUGGAGCGUCAUAGAGGGUGAGAAUCCCGUCUUUGACACGGACUACCAGUGCUUUGUGAUGCGCUCUCAAAGAGUCGAGUUGUUUGGGAAUGCAGCUCUAAAUGGGUGGUAAAUUCCAUCUAAAGCUAAAUAUUGGCGAGAGACCGAUAGCGAACAAGUACCGUGAGGGAAAGAUGAAAAGAACUUUGGAAAGAGAGUUAAAUAGUACGUGAAAUUGUUGAAAGGGAAACGCUUGAAGUCAGUCGCGUUGAUCAGGGAUCAACCUUGCUUUUGCUUGGUGCACUUCCUGGUUUACGGGUCAGCAUCAAUUUUGACCGAUGGAAAAAGGUCAGGGGAAUGUGGCAUCUUCGGAUGUGUUAUAGCCUCUGAUUGUAUACAUUGGUUGGGAUUGAGGAACUCAGCACGCCGCAAGGCCGGGUUUUUACCACGUUCGUGCUUAGGAUGCUGGCAUAAUGGCUUUAAUCGACCCGUCUUGAAACACGGACCAAGGAGUCUAACAUGCCUGCGAGUGUUUGGGUGGAAAACCCAAGCGCGUAAUGAAAGUGAAAGUUGGGAUCUCUGUCGUGGAGAGCACCGACGCCCGGACCAGACCUUCUGUGACGGAUCCGCGGUAGAGCAUGUAUGUUGGGACCCGAAAGAUGGUGAACUAUGCCUGAAUAGGGUGAAGCCAGAGGAAACUCUGGUGGAGGCUCGUAGCGAUUCUGACGUGCAAAUCGAUCGUCGAA